GGGAGAGGAGAGGAGACAAGGGGAAGGAAAUAAGGAGAGAGGAGAAUAGGAGGUAAAGAGGAUGGAGGGUAAGGACAUAAAAGAGGAGAGUCAGUCCAAUAAAAUCUCAGUUCUUUCUUUUAGCUGCGUCCCAGUUGGUGUUUUUCACAGGAAGGUCG